ensembl:lncRNA
CUAACUGUAACCCAUAGGUGAGUGUGUUCUAACUGUAACCCAUAGGUGAGUGUGUUCUAACUGUAACCCAUAGGUGAGUGUGUUCUAACUGUAACCCAUAGGUGAGUGUGUUCUAACUGUAACCCAUAGGUGAGUGUGUUCUAACUGUAACCCAUAGGUGAGUGUGUUCUAACUGUAACCCAUAGGUGAGUGUGUUCUAACUGUAACCCAUAGGUGAGUGUGUUCUAAAUGUAACCCAUAGCUGAGUGUGUUCUAACUGUAACCCAUAGGUGAGUGUGUUCUAACCAUAACUAACUGUAACCCAUAGGAGAGGUGGCUUUGUUCUAUCCAGCCUAUUCACAGAUCUGUCAGUGUUAAUGAAAGAAAGGAGACGAGAGAAGGAAAGUAUUCCAAAGUAUUUGGGACACAUCCUCUACUAUGCCCAUGCCAUUCUGCCAUGUAAUUAAUACAGUGUAGGCAUAUGACAUGUUAUUAGUGUAUGG